rnacentral:rRNA from 1 species
GACGAACGCUGGCGGCGUGCUUAACACAUGCAAGUCGAGCGGAGCGGCGAACGGGUGAGUAACGCGUGAGUAACUGCCCCCCUCUCUGGGAUAACAGUUGGAAACGGCUGCUAAUACCGGAUAGUUGGGGAUGACUCGCGUCCUAUCCGCUUGUUGGUGGGGUAGUGGCCUACCAAGGGGACGACGGGUAGCCGGCCUGAGAGGGCGACCGGCCACAUGAGGUUGAGGGACGGCCCAGACGGCUACGGGAGGCAGCAGUGGGGAAUAUUGCACAAUGGGGGAAACCCUGAGGCAGCAACGCCGCGUGCGGGAUGACGGUCUUCGGGUGAUAAACCGCUUUCAGCCAUGACGCGGUAGUGGCAGAAGAAGCACCGGCUAACUACGUGCCAGCAGCCGCGGUAAUAC